UAGGCAAAAGUAAAUCUAUUCCUUUUUGCACUAUUAACAGAAAACUCAACUAAGCAGCAUAAGUAAUUAACUUCAAACUCAGAAUUAUCUGACUAUGCAGAGGACAUUUGAAAGGAUGCGUAAAUAACUUAAUUGAAAAAAAACACAUAACGCCCACCCCUCCAAAUUUCGUUCCGGACCCAGAAACAUGAAUAAGUGAAAUAAGUGCAAAUGCUAUAGGAACAUGAGAAACGAGCAAGGAGAUAGUCACAUAUUCAAACAAUAACAAAUGAAUAGACUAAAAAUAGACAUUUAGAAUUGCAAAUUCAAAACAAUAUCUGAAGGCGUUUUAAAGAAUACAUACUUAGCUGCACAUGGUUCAAAUUUAGAAAAAGGAAAAGAGCCAAGUAAAGGCCGACAUCAGGAACCGGAGCAAAACAACCAGAAAAUAGCAGAUCCCAGCAGAAAAAUAGCAGAGGAACAACUUCAAAUUGUCCCAAUAUCAGCUUGAAACCAAGAAUAUGAUGAAGUGAAAUGACAGAAUUUAAGAAGCACUUUUGAAACCUCUUUUUUGUGGUUUUUGUUUUUGAUUUUCUGGAGUGUUUUUAAUCUUCAGAUCUGAAAAUUUCUAUCAAAUUCAUCCCCCUCUAAACGUGUGAGAGAGUGAGUGUAUCCAGAUGUAAUUAGUGAAAGAGUGUAUAGCUGAAGAUAGGUGACGGAGAAGAGAGGAGCUACCCGAUUUUCCAAGGAUCUCUUCUUGUGUUAUCGUAACAGUGGAGAUAUAGCCCUUCAAAUUAUCAAAUGCAUCGUUCUUUUGUAUCUGGGUCUAAGGGUCCCCAAGAAAAUGGCCAAAUCUGAUCUUAGUCAAUAGGUCUUAACUAUGUCAAAUAGAGCUAGGGUUAUUUUAAUGACAGGGAAUAG
rnacentral:lncRNA from 1 species